GGCUGGUUUUCAGAUCUAUGUCUUGUAGAAUCAACAGAUAGCCUUGGGAGAAGCCAGCUGAAAAGGCUGGCGUCGGCGGUUCAACUCCGUUCCCUGGCCACCA
rnacentral:tRNA from 1 species